rnacentral:rRNA from 1 species
ACUCCUAUAGGGCGAAUUGGGCCCUCUAGAUGCAUGCUCGAGCGGCCGCCAGUGUGAUGGAUAUCUGCAGAAUUCGCCCUUUUCCGGUUGAUCCUGCCGGAGGCCGCUGCUAUCCGGCUGGGACUAAGCCAUGCUAGUCUAGGGGCUUGUACUCCUUCGGGGGUGCAAGCACCGGCGGACGGCUCAGUAACACGUGGACAACCUGCCCUCGGGUGGGGGAUAACCCCGGGAAACUGGGGCUAAUCCCCCAUAGGUGAUGGGUGCUGGAAUGCCCCAUCUCCGAAAGCGCUUAGCGCCCGAGGAUGGGUCUGCGGCGGAUUAGGUAGUUGGUGGGGUAACGGCCCACCAAGCCUAAGAUCCGUACGGGCUGUGGGAGCAGGAGCCCGGAGAUGGACCCUGAGACAAGGGUCCAGGCCCUACGGGGCGCAGCAGGCGCGAAACCUCCGCAAUGCGGGAAACCGCGACGGGGUUAGCCGGAGUGCCCGUGCAUUGCACGGGGCUGUCGGGGUGCCUAAACAGCACCCCAUAGCAAGGGCCGGGCAAGGCCGGUGGCAGCCGCCGCGGUAAGACCGGCGGCCCGAGUGGCGGCCACUCUUAUUGGGCCUAAAGCGUCCGUAGCCGGCCCAGUAAGUCCCCCGGGAAAUCUGGUCGCUUAACGAUCAGACUUCCGGGGGAUACUGCUGGGCUAGGGACCGGGAGAGGCCGAGGGUAUUCCCGGGGUAGGAGUGAAAUCCUGUAAUCCCGGGAGGACCACCUGUGGCGAAGGCGCUCGGCUGGAACGGGUCCGACGGUGAGGGACGAANGCCUGGGGAGCGAACCGGAUUAGAUACCCGGGUAGUCCAGGCUG